GCUCAGGACGAACGCUGGCGGCGUGCUUAACACAUGCAAGUCGAGCGGUAAGGCCCUUUCGGGGGUACACGAGCGGCGAACGGGUGAGUAACACGUGGGUGACCUACCCCUGAGUCCAGGAUAACCUACCGAAAGGUGGGCUAAUACCGGAUAUGACCACGGGGAGUCUCGAUCCCUGAGGUGAAAGGUGGCCUCUGUUUACAUGCUACCGCUCGUCGAUGGGCCUGCGCGCCAUUAGCUAGNGGGUGGGGUAACGGCCCACCAAGGCGAUGAUGGCUAGCUGGUCUGAGAGGAUGGCCAG
rnacentral:rRNA from 1 species